GAUUCCUCCCACGUGCUCUUGCGCUGCUUCUCCCAGAGGAGGAAGGAGGGGGUCUCUCCAAAUCUGACACCUGUGGGGUUCCUUCUCAAAGAACAGUGGUCCCACUGUGCCUUGGAUCACAGUUUAAGGUUAUUCCCAUUUAGGAAGUCAGAAUGAAGCAACUUUACAUGAUUGAGAACCAAGGCUUGAGGCACAAUUAGUACCUAAGUAUGGGAGGGGAGCCAUCAGAGUCCAGAGUGUGUCUCAGCCAGUUUCCAGACGGUGACGCAUGGUCUCCUCUAGGCCUGCCUUUGUUCAUCCAUGAAUGCCAAUGAUAUUACUGGAGUUUGCCAACCGCAUGGUUGUGGAGUGGUGAAUGGAAAUGCAGGUCCCUGAGAUGUGAAGAUGAUCACAACAAAGGUCUUUUAUAAUCCAAUCCUAGAAGUGAUGCACCAUCAUUUCUGCCAUGUUUUAUUAUCAUAUAUACCAACCCUGUGGGUGAUGGCUCUGCAAGGGUUUGAAUAUGGGGAGGUGGGGAUCACUGGGUUCCAUCCUGAAGUCUGGUUUCUGGAGAAAUGACCUGCACAAUAUCCAGACCUCAUUGGAACAGGAACAGGAAGGCCAUAAGUGGAGACCUGGUGGUGGGGGCCUGGCUGGCCCAGAUCUUUCAGGGUUACAUUGGAAAGUAAGAAGACCACCACCCCUAACUGCGUCAUGAAGAUCAGAACCAGGAUUAGAAGAACAAGGAGAACUGAUAAAAAUUUCAGAAGUCCCUGGGUCUUGUCAGGUUGGGUUAGUGUCUCAGAGGAAAGAACAUGAAAAUGAAAACCAGAGAGCAGGAACGAAUGGAUGGCACGGCCCCUAAAGCAAUGAAUGCAUGUUCCCUCAGCCUUUGAUUUUGCACAUUUUCAUCAGAGUUUGUGUGUAUGGGGCAGAUCCAUUCACAAAGAUGGGGCAGGUUGUGCUUUGAGCAGAUAAACCCAUAAUUCUGGGUUGAGUCAUUGCUGAACUUGGAUUUGACACUGUGGUUAAUAAUGAGAAGAGUGCAAUCAUAAUGAAAGCACAGGCAACCACAUAGAGUAUGUUUUCUUAUUCUGGAGACCUCAGAGAAAUGGAUGGGAAGAAUAUCUUUUCUUCCCUUUCUAGAUGCCAAAAGUCUGGCUCUAGUUUUCUUUAGCAGUUGACUUUGUCAAGCUUACUCCAAUAGAAUAGCCUUUUGUGUAUUUUUUUUUCUGCCAAAUCCCCUUGGCCUCUGAACUAAAGCAAACUCCACUGAAUGUUAUUGCUGAAUAGCUCACGGCAUGUUUAUGAUAUGUGUGACUUUCUCUGGCUGACCUCACUGAAGGGGGCUUUUGCUUAGCCAGGGACCCAUUUAGAGUGGCAGGGGAUGAGAAAUCAUAGACCAUCCAGCCUAACCUCAGAGGUAGGCAGAUCUGAGAGACAUUAAGAAGGAAUGAGAUCACAAAACAUCUGGAGAAAUAUGAACUGACAAAAACUAGCUAUUGUGGUUUUGUAAAGGGUAAAUCUUGUUUGACAAAUGUGGUGGAAAAAAAAAGAGAGAAAGAGAAUGAAGGAGAUCAUGUGGAAAGCAGAGGGCUAUGACAGUGGACUUAGACUAUUAGGAUUUCCAAAAGACUUUGCACAAGAUGUUGCUAAGUAGGCUCAUGCAUUGGGUGGCACCUUUAGGCUUCCCAAAGCAGCCUACUUCAAACAUGGCAAUAAAGAGCUCAAGUCAAGAUGUAAUUAUCCCCCUUCUUUUCCUAAGGGUACUAUCCUAAAUCCUCAGUUAUUAUACACUUGGGUAGUGAGACUAGAGCCAAGUAGGACUGUGUAGUUUAAGCCCUCCAACGUCCCCUGCAAGGUUCUUAGAAUAAUAGGUUGGCUUUGGUCUGUCUACGGGAGCUACUCUGGAAAGAUGGCUGGGCCUCUUGAGUAGGACCAUCCAGACAUCAGUGAAAUAGA